rnacentral:rRNA from 1 species
AACGAACGCUGGCGGCAUGCCUAACACAUGCAAGUCGAACGAGACCUUCGGGUCUAGUGGCGCACGUGUGCGUAACGCGUGGGAACCUGCCCUUAGGUUCGGAAUAACUCCCCGAAAGGGGUGCUAAUACCGGUUAAUCUCUUCGGACCAAAGAUUUCUCGCCUUUGGAUGGGCCCUCGUUGGAUUCGCUGGUUGGUAGGGUAAAAGCCUACCAAGGCGACGUUGCUUAGCUGGUCUGAGAGGAUGAUCAGCCACACUGGGACUGAGACACGGCCCAGACUCCUACGCAAGGGUGCGGAAGGGAAUAUUGGACGAUGGGCGAUGGCCUGAUACAGCAAUGCCGCGUGAGUGAUGAAGGCCUUAGGGUUGUAAAGCUCUUUUACCCGGGAUGAUAAUGACGGUACCGGGAGAAUAAGCACCGGCUAACUCCGUG